AUCCAGCUGACGAGUCCAAAAUAGAACGAAACGCGCAUCCUGGAU
rnacentral:hammerhead_ribozyme from 1 species